AUAUAAAUCCUCUGUUCUUCAGAAAUCUUGUUUGUGAUAAGGACAAGUAUUUAUUUGCUCCAACAAAUAUUAGUUUGAUUUUUAAUGAAUAUAUGACCGACCGUUUCUCAUCUUCAGAGACUUGAAGAAUAUAUGAAAGAUACGUCGAAUAUAUCGAACCCUAACUUGCGACUACUGAAUUGUGAGCAGCAGCUGCAGCAGCUGCAGCAGCUAGAUUUGGCAUCUAUUAAUAAUCGAGGGGAAUAAUAUUUUGUGCUAAAACAUCUAUCUCUGUUUUUUGUUGUAUAUACAUACAUAUAUACCAUCAUUCUGAAAAGUAACUUUUGGGAACAAGUGUUUGUUCAGUUUGAUAAAUCAUUUGUGAAUUAAUUUGAGCAAUAUACUGAGUUUCUA